AGUCGCCACGGGAAUACGGAGGGUGCAAGCGUUAAUCGGAAUUACUGGGCGUAAAGCGCACGCAGGCGGUCUGACAAGUCAGAUGUGAAAUCCCCGGGCUUAACCUGGGAACUGCAUUUGAAACUGUCAGGCUGGAGUCUUGUAGAGGGGGGUGGAAUUCCAGGUGUAGCGGUGAAAUGCGUAGAGAUCUGGAGGAAUACCGGUGGCGAAGGCGGCCCCCUGGACAAAGACUGACGCUCAGGUGCGAAAGCGUGGGGAGCAAACAGGAUUAGAGACCCCAGUAGUCCCUGUCUCUUAUACA
rnacentral:rRNA from 1 species